rnacentral:rRNA from 1 species
UGGGGAAUAUUGGACAAUGGGCGAAAGCCUGAUCCAGCCAUGCCGCGUGUGUGAAGAAGGUCUUCGGAUUGUAAAGCACUUUAAGUUGGGAGGAAGGGCAGUAAGCGAAUACCUUGCUGUUUUGACGUUACCGACAGAAUAAGCACCGGCUAACUCUGUGCCAGCAGCCGCGGUAAUACAGAGGGUGCAAGCGUUAAUCGGAAUUACUGGGCGUAAAGCGCGCGUAGGUGGUUCGUUAAGUUGAAUGUGAAAGCCCCGGGCUCAACCUGGGAACUGCAUCCAAAACUGGCGAGCUAGAGUAGGGCAGAGGGUGGUGGAAUUUCCUGUGUAGCGGUGAAAUGCGUAGAUAUAGGAAGGAACAACAGUGGCGAAGGCGACCACCUGGGCUCAUACUGACAAUGAGGUGCGAAAGCGUGGGGAGCAAACAGG